GGUUAUUCGAAAGCCCGCCAUUUUUCUUGAAAAAAUGAGUUGAUCUUGAUUCAAGUUUUGACAGCACACCGCCGGAUAUUUUAAACGCUGCAUAAUAUUCAAGUGAAUUUUAAUAAUUGCACAAUAGAAAAUCUAUAGCAACAACAACAACAAUAUUGUGUAUACAAAAACAAUUAUAAACUCAACGCACGCACUUGACUACUGACAGUCGAUACUCAACAAGUCUAUUCUUCAAUUCAAUUCAAUGCACAGUCUUGUAUUAUAACUCUUUGGCACAAGUAAGUACCUAAUUAAAAGCAAACCUGCGCAAUGCACAUGCACUACAUUUUUAAAUUCUCUUUGAUACAGUAUGCUCAAGCCAGUAGCCGUGAGUAGCCACAAACACAAUUCAAAUUUCAAAAGUAAUAUUCAAAUAAACAUUGUAAUUUGUAGAGCGUUAUUAUUCUAAGUUUGUAGUUUAAUAAAUAAAGUGUUACCUAGUAAGCGUUUUUAUCAAAUUACUAUUUAGAUUUACUGAUUUAGUUGCUUUCUUGAAGAUACUUGGAAUCAUUCAUGGAAAUUAUUGUGAAAAUAAUUACUUCAAGUAUUAAUGGAUCUAGAUUAUUAAAUAAUACAUAUGAUUGUAGAAAUAUGAAGAACCAAUAAUUUUUCACUUAGCCUAGAGCAAUAAAGUCCCACCAAUAUGAUUUGGGUUAAGAAAAUUGCCGAUAUCAUGAAAGAAAGAAAAUCUGUUGAUUUGGAGGCAGAAAUCCCUCUUAGUGUUCUUGUUACAAAAACAUCCAAAGAACAUUUAAAACCACAAAAUGAGAAAACCGAUAAACUUGAAGAAAACAUUGAAGGUUUACAAGAUUCAUGCCCAGUAGUCAUCGAGAGGAAUAAGUUAUGUCAUUUUUGCUUAUGCUAUGGUAAAAACAUUGAAUCCUUAUUCAGUAAAAGUGGCAGGGAAGGUGUUCUUGUUGAAAUGCUGAGGUCUCUGAUGUCUAUUGCUUUAACAUCUGAAACUGAAGUACCAUCACGAAUAUGUGAAUCCUGCAAAACUGAGAUAAUUAAAUUCAAUGAGUUCAGAAAUAAAUGUGUUAAGUCCAUUCAUGCAAUACAAUCGGCUUUUGAACUGCCACUGCUAGAGCUGAGAGAGUGUAUGUGCAAAGGUGUAAGGACAGUUAGGAAAAAAAGUCUUGAGCUACAAACACGAACAUUGAAGCCGGCGGAGGUAUCAAAAGAACAUAGACCAGAGGUCCAGCAUGAAACAGAUGCCACAGAACUGAAAACUCAAGAUUCUAAUAUAUGUGAUGAAUUGGUGGAGUAUCUAGAUGAUGAUUGGUUGCAAACUAAUUCCUCAGAUAAGACUGAGAAUGAUAAAAUAAAAACUAAGAGAAAACAGAUCAUAAAACCAGGAAAUAAACUUAAAGUGAUCCAAAAGAAGGUAGGAAAGCUGAAAAACGUUAAUAAGGUUCCGGUACCAGUACGAGGUGGCCGCGCACGUGUCUCGUCACACGGGCGAGCGGGCCAUCGUUUGUGACGAGUGCGGCAAGAAGUUCCAUGACAAGCGGCUUCUCAAGUCACACCUCAGGGUACACCUCAAGAAGGACCAGUUUCCGUACUCCUGCAAGUACUGUGACAAGCGAUUUCGGCACAUCUCCGCGAGGAACGUUCAUCAUCGCACACACACCGGCGAGAAGCCCUAUGUGUGCUCAUUUUGUGGCAAGCGCUUCAUCCAGAACUCCAACUUGACGCUGCAUCUACGAACACACACAGGCGAGAAGCCGUUCUCGUGCGACGUGUGCGGGCGCCGCUUCACCUCGUGUUCGACGCUCAACGCGCACGCACACACGCACACAAAGCACAACAUGUGCGAGUGUCCGACCUGCGGAAAGAAGUUGAACAGGUCAAGUCUCCCCGGCCACAUGCGCCGACACUCCAGCAAAAAGCCGUUUGAAUGCUGCAUCUGCAAGAAGAGGUUCGUCACGGCUUCCAGACUGCGAGAGCAUUCAUACGAACAUACCGGUGAAAGGCCAUACGAAUGUGCAGACUGCUCGAUUAGAUACAAAAAGAAGUAUCAUUUAGCGAGGCACUUGAAAAGUCACGAGAAGAACAGAGAGAAAAAACAAGGUAGUCAUAGAAGAGAAGAGCAUAACGGUGUUUAUAUGAAAGACGGAGAAGAGGAUGAAUCAAAUGAAGAACAAUACGAUGAUAGUGCUACAUUACAAAUAGCAGAAGAUGUUCCUAUGGAUGUGUCACAGGAGCUGAUACUUAAUGAUGACGGUAGUGUGAAAACUGAAGUGGUAGUGGACGAUUACGGAUUGAAUGAUGAAAAUACAGUAUAUGUGAAUAAUAUAAGUGAUUAUGUGAAUGGUGAAGCUCUGAAUGGUCUUAAUUUGGUGGUUGGUGAACAAAUGUCUACUGCGCUAGUGCGCGGUGGUGGCAUGCAAUUGCGUAAUUUGAAUCGGAAUAUUGUAAGGAUUAAAUCAGGUCAGGAACUGAAAAUUAAUCGAGUCACAAGCAGGCGCAGCGAAUAUAUCUUACCUUAAUAUGUAUAAAUUACGUGAAACGUUUGUCCGCGAUAGACUCCUAAACUGAUGAACGGAUUUUAAUGGGGAUUACUUCAUCGAGUGCAGUUUAGUCCAACUUGAGAGAUAGGGUAGUUUUUAUUUGGAUUUGAGACCCAUAAUUAUUUUCAAGUCCAAUAUUUGUUUUGUAUGGACAUAUUUUCUACGAGAGAAAUUAUUGACGCAUGGUUUGACAGUUAUGCUGUGAAACAAUUUCAUUAUAACAAUCAAUGAUAUUAUAUACAAUAAAGAGGUAGAUAUCGCACUAGCGCGCGCAAAAUGUUGCCAAAUUCAGACAAUUGUCGUAAUUUCAUUUAGUCGGCUAAUAGCAGCGAGCUAAGCGGAACGUUUUCGUGCCGUGGCAGUAAUAAUCUAAAAUGCCAACCUGUGUGUUAAGAAAAUGUAUAAACUAUGUUUGCAAGAUAUAUAAGAGUGAAGGUAUUUCAUACCAUAAGAAAUUAUAUAAAAGAACGUCGUAUUUGUAUUUUAUCACGAUUUUAUUUCUUAUUUACUAAUAAAUCUCGAAUUAUUAACGUGGUGGUUCGAGCAAGAUAGAGAAUGCUGCAGCGCGACAAGGACGAAUAGUAUGAGUCAAAGAUUAAUCAACCAGAAGUGAAAUCGUAGGCAGAAUACAUAGCGUUCGUAACCGCUUGAUUGUGGAACUUGAGUUUUCUUGUUAGUUAGUGAACGUUUUUCUUAAAUAAUAUUAUGAAGAUUACAAUAAGUUCUGGCUUUCAAAGUCUUAUAAUAAAGGUGGUAUAGAAUGAGAUUAGUAAUAGCAGGCUAUUUGAUAUUUUAUUAGUACUUAAUCUUGGAAUGUAUGUAACGUACCAGGAGGUCUACUAGAAAAAUGGACACAUUUGGAACUAUACGAUAAUACUCCGAAUAUACCGCAACUACCCUGUCUGCUGCGGGAUGAUAUAGGUAGUAUAUUUUAGGAAAAUUUAGAAAAUGAUGUAAAAAAGGCGUUGUUGCAGUGAAUGUAUAUCAAACUACAAAAACAAGUUUUAGGGUAGGUAGCGGCCGUAGAAAGUAAGUGCUAUUUGCUUGCAUAGGAGUUUUUUCAGUAACACUGCCCUUUCGGUAUAUCCCUUGCUAACUGCAGAUUCUUCUGCAGUUUGCAAGGGAGUGCAGCGUGCUUUCUAUGGAUCAUUUUCUGUUUCUCCCAUUAUCUUAUUGUAAUAAACCCUCAACAAAAAUACAUUCAUAAAUAAUAUAAUAUACAAGACAUAAUAAUUCUAAACUUAAAACUUUUAGGGAGCCGUCGUUUAGUCAAAUUGUAAAAAUGGAACCCUUACUGUUAAUACAUUUCGGUUUUGUUUUGAUAUGUCUGUAUGUUUUUUAUUAUUUUAUGUACAAAUAAUUUAUAUCGUCCAUAUGGCUAUAUAUUAUAAUCAAUGUUAUUUUUUUUAAAUCAAUAACACCUAAUUUACCGAAUUUAAAUGUAGUUUUACUACUUUAUAACUUUUAUUACAUGAACUCAUGAAUUAAUCGUAUAUUAGGCAUAAAUCACGGUGUACGGUAAAAAAUCAUAUCUGGUGAAUGAUUCUGUGUUUUUGCUAUGCAAAUACGAAGCAAUUAGAAAAUUUGACUUAUCUCUUUUUCACUUGCGAUAAUUGCAUUUAGUAUCCUUCUUUGACGUGUAAUAGUAAUGUAGUGUGCUAUUGCAAUGUUAAAUUAUUCAUGUGUGCGUUUGUGUAUCAUUUACAAACACCGAAUGUUGUCUAGGUAACCUAUCUAUACUUAUAAAUAUCAUUGAUAACAAUAGGAAGCAUAUUUUACGAAAUAAUUCUUGAUGUUAUGAAAUAUUAUUGACUAAUUCAUAAAAAAUCAGUAUUUUAUUUAUAAUGUACAGAACGACGUCUGUCGUGUCAGCUAGUAAAAUAUAUGUAAUUUAAUUGUG